rnacentral:rRNA from 1 species
UACGAAGGGGGCUAGCGUUGUUCGGAAUUACUGGGCGUAAAGCGCGCGCAGGCGGUCUUCCAAGUCAGUGGUGAAAGCCCGGAGCUCAACUCCGGAACUGCCAUUGAAACUGUAAGACUUGAGGAUGAGAGAGGUGAGUGGAAUUCCCAGUGUAGAGGUGAAAUUCGUAGAUAUUGGGAAGAACACCGGUGGCGAAGGCGGCUCACUGGCUCAUUACUGACGCUCAGGCGCGACAGCGUGGGGAGCAAACAGG